rnacentral:rRNA from 1 species
CCUACGGGUGGCAGCAGUGGGGAAUAUUGCACAAUGGGCGAAAGCCUGAUGCAGCAACGCCGCGUGAAGGAAGAAGGGUUUCGGCUCGUAAACUUCUAUCAACAGGGACGAAAGAAAUGACGGUACCUGAAUAAGAAGCCCCGGCUAACUACGUGCCAGCAGCCGCGGUAAGACGUAGGGGGCAAGAGUUAUCCGGAAUUACUGGGUGUAAAGGGUGAGUAGGUGGGAUGGUAAGCCAGAUGUGAAAGUCUUCGGCUUAACCCGAGGAUUGGAUUUUGUACUAGCAAGCUAGAGUAAAGGGGAGGUAGGCGGAAUUCCUAGUGUAGCGGUGAAAUGCUUAGAUAUCACGAAGAACUCCGAUGGCGAAGGCAGCUUUCUAAACUGCAACUGACAUUGAGGCACGAAAGUGUGGGUAUCGAACAGGAUUAGAUACCCGAGUAGUC